UUAUGGUACUGCGGAGGAUCAUUACUGAUUUGCUUAAUUGCACCACAUGUGUUUUUUAUUGAACAAAUUUCUUUGGUGGCGGGAGCAAUCCUACCGCCAGAGGUUAUAACUAAACCAAACUUUUUAUUUACAGUCAAACUUGAUUUAUUAUUACAAUAGUCAAAACUUUCAACAACGGAUCUCUUGGUUCUCGCAUCGAUGAAGAACGCAGCGAAAUGCGAUACGUAAUAUGAAUUGCAGAUAUUCGUGAAUCAUCGAAUCUUUGAACGCACAUUGCGCCCUUUGGUAUUCCAAAGGGCAUGCCUGUUUGAGCGUCAUUUCUCCCUCAAACCCCCGGGUUUGGUGUUGAGCAAUACGCUAGGUUUGUUUGAAAGAAUUUAACGUGGAAACUUAUUUUAAGCGACUUAGGUUUAUCCAAAAACGCUUAUUUUGCUAGUGGCCACCACAAUUUAUUUCAUAACUUUGACCUCAAAUCAGGUAGGACUACCCGCUGAACUUAAGCAUAUCAAUAAGCGGAGGAAUA
rnacentral:rRNA from 1 species